rnacentral:snRNA from 1 species
GUGCUCGCUUUGGCAGUAUAUAUACUAAAAUUGGAAUGAUACGGAGAAGAUUAACAUGGCCCCUACACAGGCAUAACAUGGAAAUUCAUGAAGCACUCUGUAUUUUU